rnacentral:lncRNA from 1 species
CUCACACAGUAUUCACUAUGUGCUGAGCACAUGAUAUAUGCUAAUUUACCUCAUCCUGACAAUAACGCUGUGAGGUACCAUAACAUCCCUAUUUUAUAGAUAAGGAAAUGGAGGCAUGGAGAAGUUUGAUAACUUGCCCAAGAUCACACAGCUAGGAAGCAACAGAACUGAUAGCUAUCAUUAUUCGCCUCCCUAGACUAUAGGCUCAUUGAAGAAAGGAACUUUGCACAUAACAGUUGUCCAUGACUGUUGAAUAACUACUGUUGGGGGUGUUAAAAGGUCCCAAACUACAAAUGUCAAGAGACAUAUCCCAUUUUCUAAGUUCCCAACUUCCUUAGAGAAAUCUCUUGGGGAUGGAAAAAAAAAAUUUUUUUUUCAUCAGAAAACUUGGAUUGACGUGAGUAGGGUGACUUCUCAGUUCUCUGAGUUGUGAGCCGUCAGUUCACCUCUGAGCCUCACCUUUCUGGUACCCAAAAUGGACUCAACUGUGCAGCCCGCUUUCUGGGUGGGGCUGAGAACUCCGCGUGCCAUCUCGGAUAUAAAGCCUUUUGUGAACUGGAACAACCUGUCUUUCCGAGGAGAAGGCCUUUUCAUCUGUACCUCUUCCCCAACCUUGGCCACACUUCUGGGAAGUUUUUCUGUUAAGGCCUGUCCUCAAGCUUGUGGUGGAAAAUAACAGGGGCAUUUAAAGGGAAAUGAAACCUCUCUCCUCAGCAGAACAUUCCCCACACAUUUGCUGUGGCCCAGGGCAGUGGAUCUGCAGGGAGCCUUCAGCCUUAGGGAGCCCUUGAGGCUGCCUGACGCCACAGGGCAAUUCAGAGGCUGGUAAACAACACAUGGCAUUCCCGAGCUUGGCAAACAUUCAUGCACGGAAUUCUUUGUCCUCGUGAGGAAAGACAGAGAGCUGCUCUGUGCUAAAAAGCGCCAAGCCAGAACCCCAUUUUCAAAAUCCCCAACUGGAGAGCAUGCCAAGGCUGAGCAUGCCACCAACCCUUUAAAGCGUGCUUGCAAAAUAAACUUGCCCAAACUUGGACUUCUAGCUUCAAAACCUUGAGUUUACUUAUUAAUUCC